rnacentral:rRNA from 1 species
GGAAGGAUCAUUAUUGAAUGAACUUGGUGUGGUUGUUGCUGGCCCUCUCGGGGGCAUGUGCACACCCACCAUCCUCAUCUCUCCACCUGUGCACCUCUUGUAGACCUGGAUAGACUUUUAGAGGCAACUCGGUCGGGAAGAUUGGUGCGCUCUGUGAGCCAGCUUUCUUUGCAUGUCCAGGCCUAUGUUUUUCAAUAUACCCCUAUAGAAAGUAACAGAAUGUAUCAUUGGGCCUUGUGCCUAUAAACCUUAUACAACUUUCAGCAACGGAUCUCUUGGCUCUCGCAUCGAUGAAGAACGCAGCGAAAUGCGAUAAGUAAUGUGAAUUGCAGAAUUCAGUGAAUCAUCGAAUCUUUGAACGCACCUUGCGCUCCUUGGUAUUCCGAGGAGCAUGCCUGUUUGAGUGUCAUUAAAUUCUCAACCUUAUUAGCUUUUGUUGAUAAUGGAUUGGAUGUGGGGGUUUCUUUUGCUGGCUUCUUCACAGAGAUCAGCUCCCCUUAAAUGCAUUAGCUGGUGCCCCGCGUGGACCAUCUAUUGGUGUGAUAAUUAU